AUUGAACGCUGGCGGCAGGCCUAACACAUGCAAGUCGAACGAGUGGCGGACGGGUGAGUAAUGUAUGGGAACCUGCCCGAUGGAGGGGGAUAACUACUGGAAACGGUUGCUAAUACCGCAUACCAUCAGAUGGGCCCAUAUGGGAUUAGCUAGUUGGUGGGGUAAAGGCUCACCAAGGCGACGAUCCCUAGCUGGUCUGAGAGGAUGACCAGCCACACGUGGACUGAGACACGGUCCAGACUCCUACGGGAGGCAGCAGUGGGGAAUAUUGCACAAUGGGCGCAAGCCUGAUGCAGCCAUGCCGCGUGUAUGAAGAAGGCCUUCGGGUUGUAAAGUACUUUCAGCGGGGAGGCGUUACCCGCAGAAGAAGCACCGGCUAACUCCGUGCCAGCAGCCGCGGUAAUUC
rnacentral:rRNA from 1 species